UUGGAGGGCAAGUCUGGUGCCAGCAGCCGCGGUAAUUCCAGCUCCAAUAGCGUAUAUUAAAGUUGUUGCAGUUAAAAAGCUCGUAGUUGAAUUUCGGGAUCAAUAUGUCGGUCGUGCCUUCGGUACGUACUGGUAUCAUUGGUCUCUCCUUUCUGACGAACCAUGAUGUCAUUAAUUUGGUGUUAUGGGGAGUUAGGACUGUUACUUUGAAAAAAUUAGAGUGUUUAAAGCAAGCUAACGCUUGAAUACAUUAGCAUGGAAUAAUGAAAUAGGACGUUCGAUCCUAUUUUGUUGGUUUCUAGGAUUGACGUAAUGAUUAAUAGGGAUAGUUGGGGGCAUUAGUAUUCAAUUGUCAGAGGUGAAAUUCUUGGAUUUAUUGAAGACUAACUACUGCGAAAGCAUUUGCCAAGGAUGUUUUCAUUAAUCAAGAACGAAAGUUAGGGGAUCGAAGACGAUCAGAUACCGUCGUAGUCUUAACCAUAAACUAUGCCGACUAGGGGAUCGGGAUGAUGUUAAUUUUUAAUGUACUCAUUUGGGCGCC
rnacentral:rRNA from 1 species